rnacentral:rRNA from 1 species
CGCAUCUGUGCAUGCAGCAUAUCAAUAAGCGGAGGAAAAGAAACUAACAAGGAUUCCCCUAGUAACGGCGAGUGAAGCGGGAAGAGCUCAAAUUUGAAAUCUUAAAGGGUUUCCCUUUACGAAUUGUAGUUUAAAGAAGUGUUUUCUGUUGAGGUUUUGGUAAAAGUUCUUUGGAAUAGGACAUCAUAGAGGGUGAGAAUCCCGUAUUUGACCUUUACUUUCAACUUUGUGAUACACUUUCAAAGAGUCGGAUUGUUUGGGAAUGCAGUCCAAGAUGGGUGGUAAAUUUCAUCUAAAGCUAAAUAUUGGCGAGAGACCGAUAGCGAACAAGUACCGUGAGGGAAAGAUGAAAAGAACUUUGAAAAGAGAGUUAAACAGUACGUGAAAUUGUCAAAAGGGAAGCGUUUGACACCAGUGUUGUUUUUCUGAAAAUCAAUUAAAGAACUGUUUAUGCUAAGUUGUUUAGACUUUAUCAGCUAACUGUUUAGUUUUGAGCUUUCUUUAAUGCACUUUUCAGUUAACAAGUCAACAUCAAUUUCUUUUGCUGUAAAAAAGCUUGAGGAAGGUGGCUUGAGAUUCGUCUUAAGUGUUUAUAGCCUCUUGCCUAUGCAGUCGGAGAGAUUGAGGUCUGCAGCGUAGAUCCUUCGGGGCUAAAUGCAUUUGUGCUAAGUUAUAGCAUUUUAUAGACAACUUGUUGACUAUGAUUUGUCUUGUAGCUUACUCGCUUAUGUUAUUUUACCUACGCUUAGGAUGUUGAACGCGCACAGAGUCUC